UUGAAAAGAAGUGACAUCCUUUCGACACGUGCUUAGCUUUCCGUGCUUCAAUUCAGUUUGCUAUGUAUAGGAUUUCAGAAAAACAAUUCUGUGUCCGUUAAAUCGACGUUUUACCACCGCGGUAUCCGUUUGUCAUCUAUGAACACGACAUCGCGGGAUGUAAGCAUUCCCGGUUAGGAAUGCACGGUUCUAUCUCAGCACCAUUUUCCUGGUUGCUAACUGCUCUCAGUGAAACGACAUAUGAUGGUGAAAUUUCUCCCCCCGGUUCAAAUAUUGAGCAGCAAGCCUUUGACGGUAUUAAUACACUGGGCGUGAUUGAUCCAGACAGCGCAGCCGAUGAUUUCAUACAAUUUAUCACCCAACCCAGCUUCCAGACAGUUAUCGAUCUCACGCAAGAUGGUGAUGAAGAUCCCACCGUCAACGUAACAGACAAACCUCACAUCCUACCUGGUUCCAAUCCGGCGCACGUCGAGAAUCCAGUAGGAUCCGGCAGCGAACCACUUCCUGGACCCAGGAUGAACAAGCUAAAAAGGAGCCUAGAAAAACUAAUCGUCCCACCUCGCCGGUCAGUCCUGGAACAGACGGUGAACCACCAAGAAAGACUUAUCGUUUUACAGCGGUGGUCCGACCUGAACCGAAUGGCGAACUACCAAGAAAGGCUUAACGUUUUACCCCGGCGAUCAGUCCUGAGAGCUCUCCAGAGAGGAAAACUCUUUGUCUGACACCACCGAACAGCCCGGGGACCAGUCCUGAGACUGCGCUGUUUUAUGACUCGAGUAGAAGCCUCUUGGACGAGCGAGCGUGACGAGGUGUCAACCACCAACCUGGGUCAAACACCAUAUCCUUCUCGCUCACCGUCUUCGGAAGGAGUAGAAGUGGAAGAAGUGCCGGCGCCUCAGCCGGUUGAUGAACCAUUCGGUGAUCUGCCUCCGACACGCAGGUUGACAUAAACAACAAAUAUGUCGAACUCCAUGACUUACAAGAUGAUAUUAACAACAAAUUGAUUGCAUUGCGCAGCGAGUCUCGUGACAGACAAAUCGAAACCUAUAGCAGAUUAGACGCGUUGCACAGCGAGCUACAUGCCUCGAGACGUGCAGUCGAUUCGAUGCACAGGAUCACUUUAUUCAGGAUCUGGCCAAUUAAAUAUUUCGUCGCGUCAAUGCUAUGAGAUCAGUGAUUGAUCAGCAGUUUGAUAGGAAUGAUCGUAUGGUGAGUCAAUACCAACGGGAAUUGGUGCUCAUUUUGCAUCACCUUAUUCUCACCAUCAUAGAUGAGACCACAGAGUCAAAUCGAAUAUAGAUAUAGUAUUCCGAGUAAUUCUUAUAUCGCACGUCUGCUAUGAUUUUUUUAUAUUUCAUGUAUGCUUUUUAUACUUUGUUUACAUAUAAUCCGAUAUUUCAUUUAUACUCUGAUUUUGUAAUAGUUCAUUUAUGAUUUUUUAUACUAUAUGAAAUUUGUAAUAGUUCAUGUAUGUUUUAACUCUAUGAUUUUGUAAUAGUACGUGUUUUGGUCUGAAACCAAAAAAAUGGACGGGUCAGAUGAUUUAUGUCAAUCAGACCAAUCCUCCACAGAACUGACGACAGACGAGAUCGAAAUGCUAAGUGUACUGCCGGACUUUUUAGAACAGUAUUUGUUUAAUCUAGAAUCCCCUGCUAUUUUUUUGCUAUGUAAAUCCAAAUAUGAAUUUGUUUGAUCCUCUGCUAAGCCUAGACAACGAUCCCAUUGUACAACACGGCUGCGUUUUAAACAGACCACUGGCAGCGUGUACCGAGGCUGAUCCUGACAACAUAGAGCACCCCGUCAGUAAUGAUACUUCGCAACCGUCCGCAUCAGGUAAUGUCGACCCUACUACACAGACUCGAUUAAGCUGUACAGACGUUGAUAGGUUGAUUCACGAGGGUGGGGACGUUAACGGAUAUCAUGUUUUACCACGACCUCAUUUCAAUAGCGUGCCAUUGAGAAGGACUACGAAUCUGAGAGAGAUUAACUCUACAGAUUUGGGCUCUUACCACAUCCACUUACAUGACAUGCUUACUGGAAAUGUGAAUUUCGCUAGGGAAUUUGACCAAAAUUCUCCGGUGAUCGAUAUCACAUUGACGGCUCCCAAUUUACAGACACCCGUUGGUGGGAUUUUAACCCACGGUAAUAAUUACGACAUGGAUGGGUUUAAGGAUUAAAUUUGAUAGAGUUUUACAGAGCAACGACCGGUUACUAUCUGACCGAACCGUAGAAUUUGAACCUUCCGUAGCCAUGAACAGACAAGGCGGCGGUCGUCGGAAACUCGUGGACUUGGCUGUUGAUGAGGUGAUCAAAAGGAAAAAGACGAGUUUAUUUUGCGCGACCAAUAUUUCAAAUAAUUUGUGCUUCUCCAUCUGUCUCGCCCGUUUUCUUAACCCCCAACAUCCCGAGAGUGAGUUAGAAAAACUGGAUACAGUCAUCCAAAACAGCGUCGGCUUCUCAAUCCAAGACCGAAUCGGAUUUCACAGAUAUUUCACAGAUCUAUCACCAUGAUCUUAGAAACCUACAAAAAUUCAGACGAACCCCAUCCAAAAACGGUGUUGCUGUAUCUCCACGACAACCACUACUACAUGAUAACGAGUUUGAAGGCAUUCAUCGGUUCAACAUUUGUGAGUCCAUUUUGCUACAAAUCUUACACCAACCGCAGUGCCCAUCGAUGUAAACACGCCUGCAACAUCUGUUUCGAUGCGGAAUGUUACAGGUCCCCUGUAAGAAUCAUACAUUGACCCGAUUGUUUGCGUUAUUGUAAUCGACUUAUUGUCGAUUUAAUCGACUUAUUGUUUCGAAAUGCAUUAAACAAACCCACCUCCCGGUCAGGAAAACCCCACCUGUGAUAUGAUCAAAUACUGCAAACUAUGUAAUAGACGUUACAGCGUAAAACCGGGCAAUGAGAAAACCAAACACAUAUGUGCCCCAGACAAAUGUGUGCAUUGUCGAGAGCGUCUGAUGGACGAUGGGGCACAUCAAUGCUUCAUUCAACCUCUAGAGCCUAAGGAACCGUGUGAAAAAUACGUCUUUUACGAUUUUGAAACGCGUUACGAAAACUGCCGCCACGAGGCUAAUUUUGUCUGUGCCCUGACAUUCAAAGGUCAGAAAUGUACCGCCUACGGUACGGACUGCAUCGCUAAGGUAAUCAAGCGCUUCAGACAACUCCGAUACAAAGGCUACUGCUUCAUCGCUCAUUACGCCUCCAGAUUUGACACCUUUCUAAUUCUGGAGUAUUUUUGCAAAGCAGGGAUCGUGCUUGAGGUCAUAAUGCAAGGGUGCAAACUUCUGGUGUACGACGACGCAUGUGCCCAACGAUACAUCGAUAGCUACUAAUUUUUCCCAUUCGCUCUCGCCAAAAUGCCCGCGACGUUAUACUUGACGACGACUGAAAAAGGCUAUUUCCCCCAUCUUUUCAACAGGGUGGAAAAUGAGAACUACGUCGGACCGUACCCUGACAAAAGUUCUACAACUACGAGAACAUGUCGGAUAAAGUUUGAGGCGUGGUACAGCAUGGUGAAGGGCAAGUUCUUUAACUUCAAGAAAGAACUGUAUGCCUACGGCGUUAACGACGUUGUGUUAUUGCGUGAAGGAUGCAUGAAGUACAGGACGUCAUUCCUACACUGCACCCAACUCGACCCUUUUGGGUUCACGACGAUCGCCAGCUGCGCAGUGGGGGUCUUCAAAACACAUUAUCUCACCAGAAACACGCUCGCCCUGAUGCAUAACAAAGCAUACAUUCAUCAGAAUAAGUCCUACUCAAGCGGUUCGAUCCAGUGGCUCGAGUAUAUAAAAAAGACUUGAAACGUGGAAGGUCAUCACGCCGUAAACCACGGCGAAGUAUAGAUCGGUAAGUACUUUUAGACUGCUACUACGAGCAGGACGGCGUCAGGCACGGCUUAGAAUGGGGGGGUGCGUCAUCCAUGGACACUGCUGUCGCUUUGAACCCAAUCAGACGCACCCCCUGUCCGGAGUACCCUACGGGGUUCUCAGGAACCAGUUUGACGAUAAGGUUGAAAUUCUCCGGAACACGUAUGGUUUGCAAAUCGAGGUUCUGUGGGAAUACGAAUGGAAUCGGAUGAAAAAGACCGAUCCCUCUGUGAUAGAAUUUAUGGCUGAUUAUUCCGCCCCAGAGAGAUUGAAUCCAUGUGAUGCGCAUUACGGAGGCCGAACCGAACGCCUAUAAACUAUACUACAAAGUGAGCGGCGAUGAGAAAAUAAGAUAUCUGGAUUUCACCAGUCUGUACCCUUUCUGUCAGGCCAGGAAAAGCUACCCAAUCGGACACCCCGAAAUCAUUUUCACAGAUUUCGAACCGAUUGAAAAUUAUUACGGACUUAUCACAGCCACCGUGUACCCUCCCCGCAACUUACUGCACGGCAUCCUCGCUUUCAGAUCCCGAGGAAAACUCAUGUUUCUGCUAUGUAGAACCUGCGCUCAAGACCAAAACCAGACCUCGAGCUUUACCCACACAGACCAGGAAAGAUCGCUUUCGGGCUGGUGGGUCAGUAUUGAGCUUAUAAAAGCCAUCGAGAAGGGCUAUGUGGUAGCCAAGAUAGAUGAGGUUUGGCAUUUUCCACAACGGUCAGACACGUUGUUUGCUGAAUACGUAAAAACCUUCUUGCGUUUGAAACAAGUUUCGGGCUACCCAUCGAACGUCGUCACGGAUGCAGAGAAAGAGGCUUACAUUCGUGACUAUUUUGAAAAAGAGGGCAUUCAACUUGACCCAGAAAAAAUCAAUAACAACGCUGCCCAAAGGGCCAAAUACAUCCUGGCUCAGACAGAAAACAUUGUGAGAGAUAAAAAAGACUCUCACAUUACAAAACAAAUCAGUCUUUAAAAGGUUCAAGGUCGUCUACGAUAAACAUUGGCUUUUAAGCGAUUAUACCACGCUUCCUUUGGGCUACUGAUCAGAUGACGAUGCACAGAGGGUCUCAGGAUGUGUCCGAUUUUGAUUUCAGACUUCAACACCCUUUCAGCUGUGUUGUAUCUGGACCGUCCAAUUCCGGAAAGUCUUAUUUUGCAAAACUUUUGUUGGAAAAAGGUUUGAAUAUCAUUUCAAAGAAAAUUGAAAAGUUUGUUGUAUGAUUGCUGGCAAACUUUGAACGAUGAUUUACUUCAAUUGUAUGACAUUACAUUUAUACAAGAAAUACCCCAGAGUCUGAAUGAUGAUGAUUUACUGCCUGUUACCACUGCUUACCUUCUCGUGGUCGACGAUCUCAAUGUUUGGUGGUGUCAGACAAAGAGUUUUCCUCUCUGGAGAGCUCUCAGGACUGAUCCCCGGGGUAAAACGAUAAGCCUUUCUUGGUAGUUCGCCGUUCGGUUCAGGUCGAACCACCGCUGUAAAACGAUAAGUCUUUCUUUGUGGUUCGCCGUCCGGUCCAGGACUGACCGGCGAGGUGGGAAGAUUCGUUUAUCUAGGCUUCUUUCUUGCUGGUUCGUCGCAGGGUCCAGGAAGUGGUUUUCCGCCGGAUCCUAUUGGAUUCUCGACGUGCUCUGGAGUGGAAUCAGGUAGGAUGUGAGGUUUGUCUGUUAUGUUGAUGGUGGGAUCUUCGUCGCCAUCUUGCGUGAGAUCGAUUACUGUCUGGAAGCCGGGUUGGGCGAUAAAUUGUAUGAAAUCUAAAAAUAAAAUUUGAUUUCUUAUAAGCAUAAAAGAAAUCUAAAAUUUACAUUUCUCAUAAAAAUGUUGGAGAUGGAUCUUGUUUUACCAUCGGCUGUGCUGUCUGGAUCAAUCGCGCCCACUGUGAAAAAAAAAAAUUACAUUUAUAAAAAGACAAAAUUAAAAUACGUUCAGUUUAAUUUAUAAAAAGAAUAGUUCAUAUGUACUUAUGUGUAUUAAUACAGUCAAAGGCUUGCUGCUCAAUAUUUGAACCUGAGAUAAAAAAUAAAAAACCUGUUAUGAUUUAAAACACAUGGAGAGGGUUUUUAUUUGCUAGUUUAAUGGAGCACACACACACAGACAGACUGUGACAAAGAAAUCAUGAUGUCAUAACAUUAAACCGCAAGCAGAUGGCACAAUUUUCACUAUAACACGGUGUCAUAACAUUAAACCUCCGCAGAUGGCACAAUUUUCACUAUAACACUGUGUCAUACCAUUAAACUGCCGGAGAUGGCACAAUUUUCACUAUAACAGGAUCAUUUCACCACAGACUCACCGGGGGGAGCCAUUUCACCAUCAUAUGUCGUUUCACUGAGAGCAGUUAGCAACCGGGAAAAUGGUGCUGAGAUAGAACCGUGCAUUCCUAACCGGGAGCGCUUACACCCCGCAAUGUCGUGUUCAUAGAUGACAAACGGAUAACGCGGUGGUAAAACGUCGAUUUAACAGACACAGAAUUGUUUUUCUGAAAUCCUAUACAUAGCGAACUGAAUUGAAGCACGGAAAGCUAAGCACGUGUCGAAAGGAUGUCACGUCUUUUCAAAAUAAAAGUAUUUUCAACAGGAUGUCACCAUCUUUUCAAAAUAAAAGUUUUUUUUCAUACAAACAGCCUGGCGGUGAUUGGGACAUUAGAUGCAUCGAUAUUAAGUCAAAUAACAUACUUUAUGAAUAUAGUGUUAAAAUAUCUCUAUCAGCAGAUGAAAUAAAAUACAGAUGCAUGUUUUAUUACAGGAAUUAAAUGUAAUAUGGUUUAAAGAUGAACAUUGUAGAAUGUAAAAAUAGCAUAACAUACUUUGAUCAAUUAAUAUUUAAAUAUCACUACAAUCAGAUAAAAUAAGACAGCAAAAACUUGAAGAAAAUUACAGGAAUUAAAUGUAAUAUGGUUUAAAGGCAUCAUAUACUGUAAAAAUAGCAUAACACACUUUGAUCAAUUAAUAGUAUUUAAAUAUCACUACCAUCAGAUAACAUGAAAUGAUAAAAUACUCACUUUUAUCCAUUGUCUUGGAAAGCAAAUGUCUUGGAGAACCGUCCGAGAAAGUUUUUUGGUAUAAAGUGAUGCUUUGUAACACGCGAAAAUGGAUUUAUAAAGGGACCAUGUGAAAGAAAUCGGUGUUGAGUGACCGCUAAGUGUCAUCCUUGUUCUAUGAAUGAACUUGUUCAAUAGGUGGGAAGCUGAGCAUGGUUCACGCGUGUCAUAAUAAAUUUGUGGGCAUGAGAGAUGGUAGACGCUGAUCGUCGUAAUUCAUAGAUGCACCCGUCAGAAAACUGUAAAAAACAUGGUACUCCUGCAUGAGAUACGUUGGUUUUAAUUAACAAUGUCUUUAAAGGUAUUAUGAUUGGGUAGUAAAUUUGGACGAGAGUGAACUGUAGCGUGCAAACACAGACACUGGGGUCAGGAAAAAGGUGAUGUGAAAACAACUCCUUCAGAAAACAUUAUUACAACUUUAAAAUUUAGGGAUUAUAAUUUGAAAAUAAUUUUAACCAUAACAAAACAUUGGCCGUGUCUCAUUGUGAUCGCUGAUUCAGAGAGAGUCUGACAGACGGAGCUGCGAGCCUGUUUCUCACAAAGCUGAAGCUUCUGUCUAAAAUAAGGUAGGUGGAUUGGUUUCAGUAAGCUUUUUAUAAUUCUUUUAAAGAACAGAAUGUUUUUCAACCUUAGUUAAAUUGCUUUAGAUUAUGUAUAAUAUAUAAAGGAUAGAAUAUAAAGAACAGUGUGUUUUCAUAGGGUUUUAUAUAUAAAUGUUAAAUAACUGAAAUGUUUUUCAACCUUUAAUUGUUUUAGAUUAUAUAAAUUAUAGACUGUUUUAUAUAUAAAUGUGAAAUAACUGAAAUGUUUUUCAACCUUUAAUUGUUUUAGAUUAUGUAUAUUAUAUAAAUUAUAGAAUAUAAAGAACGGCAUGUUUUCAACUUUAGCAUGAAAAUUUAUUAUAUUAUAUAAAUUAUAUAAAUUAUAGAAUGUUUUAUAUAUAUAUAUAUAUAAAUGUGAAAUGACUGUCUGACAUCCACUCCCAUUACAUUCCUGAGCAGUAUAAAAAUGGGGUCGGUGUCAGACAGUUCUCUCUGUAUGCAGCCAACCGCACACACACACACACACACAAACAUACACACACAUAACCCAUAUAACUGGGACAAAGUUCAAACAACCGGCAAAUAGCUUCUGUCAAAACCACAUGAUCGAUGUGGGGAGGUGUGGGGAGGGUUAGUAUACCGUAAAACUACCCGUCAAAAACUAUGAUUUAGAACUAACUAGGUCAAUAGGGUAAAGGCUUCUGUCAAAACCACAUGAUCGAUGCGUGGGGAGGGUUCGUAUACCAUAAAACUACCCGUCAAAAACUAUGAUUUAAAACUAACUAGGUCAAUAGGGUAAAAGCUUCUGUCAAAACCAAAUGAUCGAUGCGUGGGAAGGGGUCAAUAGGUUAAUCGAUGAACUCAUUCGGAAAGUUCAACCCGUCCAUCAUAAGGUUACCGGAAGUUCAACCUGUCAAAAAGGUCAAAGGUCAAAGUCGUAAAUCAUCUUGACACAAAGUGUAUCAUAAUCACUACUUGUACUUUUUUAGCUGAAAAAUAAUGCUACAGUUGGAGGAAAACACAGCGUAUUUCAUUUCAUUCAUCAUCAAGUGUGCUCAUUCCUGUUGAUGUCAUUAAUCUGGCAACCUGUGUGUACGUCAAGUCUGAGGAGGAGGGGCCGUGUAAAAACAAACCUUUUCCAAUAUUUCGAAUUUGGACUGCAAUACCUAGUUCAAUCACUCUGUGUAAAUCCUACAUACAGCACCUUUUAGAAAAUGUGCAAUUAAUUAGUAAAUAUUUUUAAUUGAUUGACAGCACUGAUUAUUAAUCUGCUGUCUUUAUUGUUAUUUUUCAGCCAGUUCUCUAAGAAGAGACUUUUAUGCUUAAUAUUUGCUCAAUUAUUACAGUUUUCUUGAGAAAUGUAACAUAUUUUUUCUGUUUAAGGUGAAAUCGCAGCUAUUGUGAUUGGAUCUCUGUGUGGAUGUAUAGGCUUGGCUGUUAUCAUCUGCUUUAUUGUGAAAACCAUUCGCUUAACAUCCAGCUGGGAUGUCUUACCAAGUAUCCGACCUUCUCACCAGCCAAGGUCAACUUUUUUAAUGACCAUUCAUGACCUCUAACCACAAGCUUUAAACCCUUAACCUCAGUAACCCCUAAAAUCAAGUCAUCCAUCCAUCCAUCCAUUAAGUUAGGUAACAUUUUAUUUAGAAUAAUUUUGUAUGGGAGGAACAUUUUUAACGUACAAUUCAACCAAAGUCCCUUUAAGGGAAGUAAUUUCACUCUCACUCUCAAACCUAGGCAGUUGGUCUCAUUCAGUCUCACGGUACUUUGAUAGCACAUGUGAUCGUAAGGCAUCUACAGUAUCGAUCAAAGUCUAAGAAAAUUUCGAACCAUUUUUUUGCGGCAUCGCAUGAAGUCGAACAAACCUAUUGCCUUAAACGAUUAGCAAUUAGCUAUUUUACUUAGAAGGUGGGGCUUCCUUCAACAGAGUGGUCAUAUUGAUGGAGCGUUCACACCAUAUCAUACGCUGCUUUCCAAGGCAGCAUUUCAAGGCAUUAAGGCAUCAAGGCAUGUCCGAACACAAAUUCUGCUUCACUUCCUGUCUUCAGAGGUACCUUCUUCUGAUCGAGUUUUGAAGUCAGCUUAAAUACAUAGUGCAUUCCAUUCCUUGAUGGUUGGGAUAAAAAAAUAAAGAAAGUGUCUGAAAGUUACAUUUGGUGGUCUUGUGUGUAAAUGUAUGCUUCUGACCAAAUUUUUUGCACUUUUGUUGUUAUUUCUAUGAAGAAAUCAGUAUUAUAAUAAUAACAUAUUUGUUUAGUUAUCAUCAAAACUCAUUCUAUUUUGUUGUAGAUCAUUAAACUGUUACGCUGCCUCAAAAGCCUGUCUGAAAUGAGUUUCAUGAGGUGCCUUUAUGCAAAAACUUUGCCUGCAAAGUCACAUGCCUAGUAAGGCAGCGAGGCAGCAAGUCUUUUGGACACAGCCAUAAUUGCCAUUAUUCCGAGAUGAUAACAAGUGAUGUUAAACUCUGUGCUGUUCACGUACUCAGACAGGAGAUUAUCUGUUUCUAUAGCAACGGUCAACAAAAUGAACCCACCUGAAAGAAUGCUACAGUAUGUUACUGGCAGCUGUCAAGCACAUAAUCACAACAUUAGAUUUGCAGAACAAAGAAUGCAUGUCAUGUAAAAAUAAUUACUUGUUUGUUAUUAUUAAUGACAGCAAUAAAUGUGAUAUUGUAAACUUAAACAAACAACAACAAAAAAUAACAGUAUGAAAACUUACAAAAUAAGUUUUUAUAUUAUUGUACAUAGUAUCUAUAUGUAUCUUUGUUCCUCUUUUUAGAGCAGUAUUAGCUUUUCUUGAAAGUGCUGCCCUUUUUCUCUGGUUCUGCAUGAGAUGCAGUGGUCACAUGGUACAAGCCGUAGCUCUCAGAAAACUCCCAGCUCUAACCAAAGACUAUAUAUAGAAUACACAAGACGUAUCACUCCUUUUGUUUUGUAUUUUAUUGUUUUUUUUUGUUUGUUUUUGUUUUCAUUAUUGCCAAGGUACCAAAUAUAAAAGUACAGAGAAUAUCAACAUUGUGUACAAAGAGGUAACAUUACAUGCAAAGCACCAUUUAUAGAUGUAUGCAAUAAAAAAUAAAUAAUACAAAACGAAAGCUAAACACAAGAUCAAAUAAAUGAACUGUUUUAAAAGUCUUAAGAUUCUUAGAAGAUGAAAUAGUCUGAAUAUACUUUUAAACCUUUUGAUGAUUGAAUUUACUGCAGUGAAUAUGAAAUUUAGCAAGAAAUAAUAAUAGGUUAAUAAUAAAAUAUUAAUAAAUUUUGUCUUCUUGCAUAUUAAAGAAUCCAAACAGUACAUCCUUAAAAGGAGAGAGAAACCCUGAAGCAUAAUGUGAUUGAAAGCAUUAGAGAAUUCAAUACAAAAUAGCUGUGUGUAAGGAUGAUCCCAAAAGAUAUGCAUAUUCUCCAACUCUGAUUCGGCUGAGGAUUGCAGCGGAUUCCUACUCCAAUGCUCGCUGGUCCUGGAGAUUCAACCACACUUAUACCCUGCCGAAAUAGCUAAGGUGGCCUUCCUGAUAUCUCAAUUGCAAGGUAAAGCACUUCAGUGGGCCGAUUCAAUUUGGACACAGAAUAACCCAGUUAUCCAGUCUUAUUCCAGCUUCAUCGACCAUUUCAGAGAAACCUAGAAUCUGUGUCUCCACUGUGCCUCUACCACCGGAGUGGGAGCGGUCCUGUCACAGCAGCAGGGGAAUCCUAGUCACCUCCACCCAUGCGCCUUCUUCUCUUGUGAGCUGCUGGCCAUCAAGUUGGCCAUGGAGGAAUGGAGGCAUUGGCUGGAGGGAGCCAAACACCCUUUUCUAGUCCUCACAGACUACGAGAACCUCAAAUAUCUAUGGGUAGCCAAGAGGCUGAAUCCGAGACAGGCCCGCUGGGCGCUAUUCUUCACCCACUUCCACUUUACCAUCUCGUAUCGCCCAGGGGCCAAGAACGUGAAGGCUGACGCCCCCUGGUCUGCAGAGACCUUUCUUCCUCCAAUCCUGCUACCAACACCCCGCCGGGUUGCCCACCGGACACCAAUACAUCCCCAGGACGCGGCACACUCCACUCAUUCACUCCGCUCACACAUCUCUUGCCAAUGUCACCCGGGGGUCAAUGAAACCCCCUCGUUGCUAAGGGAAUGCUUCUGGUGGCCUAACAUGGCUUCUGAUGUCAUAAGGUACGUGAACGGAUGUACAUACUGCGCCAUCUUCAAAAGUCCAUGCCAUCUACCAUCAGGCAAGCUCCACCCUCUGCCCAUCCCUAAUCACCCGUGGUCAAACCUAGGGGUGGACUUUAUCACUGACCUUCCUCCUUCCAACAAUAAUACCUGCAUCCUAGUCAUUGUAUGGCCAUUGUAGGGUCAUUGGGUGGGCCAAGUAUGCACAAAACUCCAUGCGACAACCUACAGCCGACCUUUGCCGAUCCGAGACCCCUGAAUACCAACCUGGUCAGAAGGUCUGGUUGUCCACCUGAGACAUCCGCCUGUGCCUACCCUGCUGCAAGCUGAGUCCCAGAUUCAUUGGCCCAUUCACCAUCCUAGAGCAGAUCAAUCCUUUCAAACUCCAACUACCACCAGAGUGCUGGAUUUACCCCACUUUCUUUGUGUCCCUCCUCAAGCCUUACCAUCCCUCUGUUUCUCCCUCCACAGAACCUGGCGUAGCCGAAGCCCCCCCUCCACUCCACCUUGAAGACGGUGCUGCCCAUGUAGUUCGAGACAUCCUGGACUCCCGGCGGCAUGGUGGACAACUUGAGUACCUAGUGGAUUGGUAAGGAUAUGUUCCAGAGGAACACUCAUGGGUCCCACGCAAUGACAUCCUGGAUCCAGACCUACUAGACACCUUCCACUCCAGUCAUCCCAACAGACUGGCUCCUUGAGGAAGAGGACAUCCACCAUGUCGUCGGGGUCCUUGGCCCUCAGGAGUGGGCCGUGGGGAGGGGGGUACUGUUACAGACAUGCCAGGUUCCACCUCCUUCCAAUCACAGUGCACUCCCUCACCUGAAUACUAAUCACUCCCACCUGAUCUUCAUCCACCUUCAAUCACUGCAGCACUACAAAAACCACACACACGCACUCAGUCAGCGUCCGGUCUCAUUCGCAACAAGGUCUUGCCUGUAUGCUAACUCUAAAGGACUAACCCUUUCUCUACUUACCUCUCUCCAGCAAUCUCCAGAAGCCUCCAGUCUUCAUUGUGCAUGUGUGUGGUACACCCUCUUCCUCCAGCGUCAAAACCGUUCAUCAAUGGAUCCAUUCUUCACGGCCUCCAGCACCAUCACUUUAUCCAGCACUACCCGCUCCUCUGCUUAUGCCUCAAUAA